AUGCAGGUGCUUCUGAGUGUUCUACAGAAUGCCCCAGUGGACAAAGUUUUUCUUGCUUCAGCUUCCAAGGAACUUGCUCGUGUACUUGCUCGGAAACAUCACACCCCUGCGAAGAUCUUCGUGGCAACACUUGUCCUGAGGGCUAUUUCCGCAGGUGCGUCAGUGAUUCUCACGGAUGCAGUUGCAGAUGCGAUAUUUAAUGAAUACAUUGAUCCAGAUGUCCGUCGGUCGUUUAGAUGCUGUCUCUGCUUGAUGAGACAGUAUGCUUCGAUGACCAACUUAGAAGAGAAAGUAAAAUAAAAUAAAUUGUUUAGAACAUCUCUCGUACCCUUUACUCUGGUGGCUGUAGUAAGUAAUGAUAUUGCGGUAUAUUUCGAACAUUCUACCUUGCCUAUAUUUUAAUAUUGUUGUUUAAUUCUAUUGACAUUGGUAGUGCAAGAAUGACAUGACUUCGUGUGGCUGCUAGUGGCAGAAAAAGUGGGUAGGCUGCAUUGGCGACUCAGCCGCUGUAGUCUACGUGAAACGUUCUUUUGCGUGCUGCUGAGGAUGUACGGGAGAUAGAGACACGGGUACUGAAUGCACCCUUUUUAAGCUUGUGCAAUACAUUUUCAAUGCAUAAGCAUUUCCAUGCCUACCCAACGAGGAAAACCCAUUCGUCCGUCACGCAAGACGAAUCGCCUAAUGAAAGAAGUUGAUUCAUAAAAUAAAAUAAAUGCGAAAGGAAAAAGAAUCGCGUAGCUUGCACUGGAUGCGCAAUGCUAAAGAGACAGCGGAGCUGAUGGGCACCUAGCUAAUCUUAGCUUUUGGACUAGGCUAGAGACUACCAAGUCAUACCCAGCAUUUCCCGGAAUUUAAUAAUUAUUGAUAGAAUAUCGAUUAGCUAUUCAUUGGUUAUCGAUUGGCUAUCGGAAGGUAUUGGCCACGUAUUGGGGCUAGGCUAAGCCAAACCAAGUCAACCACAUAAUUUCCCGGAAUUUAUUGACUAUUGAUCGAUUAUCAAUUAGCUAUUGAUUGGAUAUAAAUUGCCUAUCGAUGACUGACUAACCUUCGGUGGUCCCAACAAUCCUUAGCAAGACUUAUCCAGGCUCGCUUCGGUAGUUCACAGUGGUAUGUGCCAUUGGACUUGGACUGACUCCAGGAUCGGCCCACAUUUUUGGAUUCAGCAGACACAUUACGCCCGGCUUAAACAGCUCGGCUGUUAAAAAUGUUCGGGGUCAUGAAUUUCUAACCUACGACCCCACGCGCAGAAGCCGAGUGCCAUACUCUCUGUUACACGAGAGCAGAAUCUUCAGCAAAACGAGAACAAAGCAUGAUGGAAAUUUAAGGUGACUGAAAACCCAUUGAGAAGUCAGGCAAGCACGUGCAAGCGUCCA